rnacentral:rRNA from 1 species
UGGGGAAUAUUGCGCAAUGGGGGAAACCCUGACGCAGCGAUGCCGCGUGAGUGAAGAAGGGACUCGUCCCGUAAAGCUUUGUCCCCGGGGAAGAGGAAGACGGUACCCGGGUAGGAGCCCCAGCCAACUACGUGCCAGCAGCUGCGGUAACACGUGGGGGGCGAGCGUUGUCCGGAAUCAUUGGGCGUAAAGGGCACGCAGGCGGCUUCAAGGGCCGCCGAUGAAAUUACCGGGCCCAACCCGGUAACGGUCGGCGGAACCGUGGAGCUCGAGUGCCAGAGAGGCAGGCAGAAUUCCUGGUGUAGCGGUGAAAUGCGCAGAGAUCAGGAGGAAUACCGGAGGCGAAGGCGGCCUGCUGGCUGGCAACUGACGCUCAGGUGCGAAAGCGUGGGGAGCGAAC